GUCCACACCCCGGGUGACGCAUAUCCCGGGUGACGCUACACAGUGACGCACAAUCAGCUCAGCUCUGGAGGACUUUCCUGCCACGAAAACUCCUCCUGACAUGAAAACUCACAAGCUGCUGGCUCUCCCCCCAUCCUAACCAUCAGGAAGCCAGAAAAAUCUCUGAUAAGAGAACGGGUCCCUCUGAUCUCCAGAGACAUCAAUGUGAUCAUCAGAGGCUUGGAUAAUAACAUUCCCCUCAGUCUUCAUGCAAGGAGACUGCAUGUGACAAGUAGCUCUGAGGGAAGACAGCUGCCAUGGCAUUGGACACUCAAGAAGCCCCGUGGAGAGGUCGAUGUGAUAAAGAGCUGAGACAUCCCACCAGCAGGCAGUACCGAUUUGCCAGAUAUGUAGGGGAGCCACGUUGGAGACCCUCCGCUCCAACCAAGACUCCAGAUGACAAUAGGGCUUUGGUCGACAUCUUGACUGCAACCUCAUGAAAGAUCUGAGCCAGAACUGCCCAGCUAAGCUGCCCUUGGAUUCCUCCUCCACAGCAACUAUGCAGCCAACUCACCUCUCAGGGUGGUGCCUGCCCUGCCACUUAGCAAGAAGGCAGGGGGCACCCAAAGGUCUGAGGAGAAAGAGUCAUCGGUCACUGGGGAGAGAAAUCGUGAAACUUACACCAAGAGUCAGGCUGAUGAGGAAUACAUGGAGACACAUGUGGCAUGAAUAAAAAAGAAGACGAGGAAGAGGAAUUAAAGGAAGAAAUCAUUGAACCCAUCAUGCCUGCUUUGAUGGAGCAGGAUCAGACUACGGAAAGGAGUUGAAUGGAAUGAAAGUGAUCACAUGACAGAGCCCGGACAAGGGUAAGCAUGCUCCAGAAGAGAAGAGCCCUCAGCCGUGUGAGGAGAAGCCCUUUCAGUAAGAGAAGAAGAUUCCACACGAUCUGGCAGAGGGAGGAAGGGAGGCAGGAGCCGGGGAGAGGCACCUGCAGCUUGGCAGGAAGAGACUGUUCUCCAAUGUUCCUGUUCAGAAAGUAAAUGUAUUUGA